CAAGGAACAAAUUGAUGCACAGUUAGAUAAGCUCAUUGCGCAAGGGGUUUUAGAGCCUAUUGACCAUGCCAGGUGGGGGACACCCAU